AAGUGGAUAUCUCUUCUUCUUCAUUCGGCUAAGAGAGACUAAAGGGAGUAAAAUCAAAGCUUUUGGAUGUUUAUUAUUCCUCCAUUGCCGUAGGUUCCAACAAAAAAUAGAUCAAGAAUUGUCAAAUCUGAGCCUAUACCGGGGGAAAACCAAGCAAGUUGACUAAACCGACUAGUCGUAUACGUUUUGUAAUCCGAGCUCAAGGAUCACCUGAAGUCAGAGAUAUCGAUCACACUAUCAACCGAAGCAUUCAGUAUAGUUGGAUUUAUAUUUUUGAAUAUGACAUGUAUAGGACUUAAACUUUAUUAUUUUGUGUUUUUGAAAAUUGGCCAAAUGUGUUGCCUUGGGUUGGAAGCCCUUCAAUUUGCAUUAUGCCUUGAAUGAUGGCUAACAUUCAUUUUGGAAUUUAUAGAAGAUGCAUUAUCAUGGUGGAA